CAAGGUUAAGCAGUAAAUGUGGAGCCGUAGCGAAAGCGAGUCUGAAUAGGGCGUUUAGUAUUUGGUCGUAGACCCGAAACCAGGUGAUCUACCCUUGGUCAGGUUGAAGUUCAGGUAACACUGAAUGGAGGACCGAACCGACUUACGUUGAAAAGUGAGCGGAUGAACUGAGGGUAGCGGAGAAAUUCCAAUCGAACCUGGAGAUAGCUGGUUCUCUCCGAAAUAGCUUUAGGGCUAGCCUCAAGUGAUGAUUAUUGGAGGUAGAGCACUGUUUGGACGAGGGGCCCCUCUCGGGUUACCGAAUUCAGACAAACUCCGAAUGCCAAUUAAUUUAACUUGGGAGUCAGAACAUGGGUGAUAAGGUCCGUGUUCGAAAGGGAAACAGCCCAGACCACCAGCUAAGGUCCCAAAAUAUAUGUUAAGUGGAAAAGGAUGUGGCGUUGCCCAGACAACUAGGAUGUUGGCUUAGAAGCAGCCAUCAUUUAAAGAGUGCGUAAUAGCUCACUAGUCGAGUGACACUGCGCCGAAAAUGUACCGGGGCUAAACAUAUUACCGAAGCUGUGGAUUGUCCUUUGGACAAUGGUAGGAGAGCGUUCUAAGGGCGUUGAAGCAUGAUCGUAAGGACAUGUGGAGCGCUUAGAAGUGAGAAUGCCGGUGUGAGUAGCGAAAGACGGGUGAGAAUCCCGUCCACCGAUUGACUAAGGUUUCCAGAGGAAGGCUCGUCCGCUCUGGGUUAGUCGGGUCCUAAGCUGAGGCCGACAGGCGUAGGCGAUGGAUAACAGGUUGAUAUUCCUGUACCACCUAUAAUCGUUUUAAUCGAUGGGGGGACGCAGUAGGAUAGGCGAAGCGUGCGAUUGGAUUGCACGUCUAAGCAGUAAGGCUGAGUAUUAGGCAAAUCCGGUACUCGUUAAGGCUGAGCUGUGAUGGGGAGAAGACAUUGUGUCUUCGAGUCGUUGAUUUCACACUGCCGAGAAAAGCCUCUAGAUAGAAAAUAGGUGCCCGUACCGCAAACCGACACAGGUAGUCAAGAUGAGAAUUCUAAGGUGAGCGAGCGAACUCUCGUUAAGGAACUCGGCAAAAUGACCCCGUAACUUCGGGAGAAGGGGUGCUCUUUAGGGUUAACGCCCAGAAGAGCCGCAGUGAAUAGGCCCAAGCGACUGUUUAUCAAAAACACAGGUCUCUGCUAAACCGUAAGGUGAUGUAUAGGGGCUGACGCCUGCCCGGUGCUGGAAGGUUAAGAGGAGUGGUUAGCUUCUGCGAAGCUACGAAUCGAAGCCCCAGUAAACGGCGGCCGUAACUAUAACGGUCCUAAGGUAGCGAAAUUCCUUGUCGGGUAAGUUCCGACCCGCACGAAAGGCGUAACGAUUUGGGCACUGUCUCAACGAGAGACUCGGUGAAAUCAUAGUACCUGUGAAGAUGCAGGUUACCCGCGACAGGACGGAAAGACCCCGUGGAGCUUUACUGUAGCCUGAUAUUGAAAUUCGGCACAGCUUGUACAGGAUAGGUAGGAGCCUUUGAAACGUGAGCGCUAGCUUACGUGGAGGCGCUGGUGGGAUACUACCCUAGCUGUGUUGGCUUUCUAACCCGCACCACUUAUCGUGGUGGGAGACAGUGUCAGGCGGGCAGUUUGACUGGGGCGGUCGCCUCCUAAAAGGUAACGGAGGCGCUCAAAGGUUCCCUCAGAAUGGUUGGAAAUCAUUCAUAGAGUGUAAAGGCAUAAGGGAGCUUGACUGCGAGACCUACAAGUCGAGCAGGGUCGAAAGACGGACUUAGUGAUCCGGUGGUUCCGCAUGGAAGGGCCAUCGCUCAACGGAUAAAAGCUACCCCGGGGAUAACAGGCUUAUCUCCCCCAAGAGUUCACAUCGACGGGGAGGUUUGGCACCUCGAUGUCGGCUCAUCGCAUCCUGGGGCUGUAGUCGGUCCCAAGGGUUGGGCUGUUCGCCCAUUAAAGCGGUACGCGAGCUGGGUUCAGAACGUCGUGAGACAGUUCGGUCCCUAUCCGUCGUGGGCGUAGGAAAUUUGAGAGGAGCUGUCCUUAGUACGAGAGGACCGGGAUGGACAUACCUCUGGUGUACCAGUUGUCGUGCCAACGGCAUAGCUGGGUAGCUAUGUGUGGACGGGAUAAGUGCUGAAAGCAUCUAAGCAUGAAGCCCCCCUCAAGAUGAGAUUUCCCAACUUCGGUUAUAAGAUCCCUCAAAGAUGAUGAGGUUAAUAGGUUCGAGGUGGAAGCAUGGUGACAUGUGGAGCUGACGAAUACUAAUCGAUCGAAGACUUAAUCAA
rnacentral:rRNA from 1 species